rnacentral:rRNA from 1 species
GACGAAGGUGGCAAGCGUUGUUCGGAAUCACUGGGCUUAAAGAGUACGUAGGCGGCUCGUCAAGUGCUUUGUGAAAUCCCUCGGCUCAACCGAGGAAUUGCUGGGCAGACUGGCGAGCUUGAGGCAGGUAUGGGCGAGUGGAACUCUUGGUGGAGCGGUGAAAUGCGUAGAUAUCAAGAGGAACGCCGGUGGUGAAGACGACUCGCCGGGCCUGUCCUGACGCUGAGGUACGAAAGCCAGGGGAG